GGUAAGUUAGGGGCUGGAAGUGUUCCCAGACACAGAAGGCUGUACAGACGUAGAUCUGAGGUAAGUAAGGGGCUGGAAGCGUUCCCAUACACAGAAGGCUGUACAGACGUAGAUCUGAGGUAAGUAAGGGGCUGGAAGCGUUCCCAGACACAGAAGUCCGUACAGACAUAGAUCUGAGGUAAGUAAGGGGCUGGAAGCGUUCCCAGACACAGAAGGUUGUACAGACGUAGAUCUGAGGUAAGUAAGGGGCUGGAAGCGUUCCGAGACAC